rnacentral:lncRNA from 1 species
GUGGCCAGGGAGCCGCAGGCAAGGGACUAAGGGGAGGGGGGCUCAGUGCCAGCUGCUUAAAAAUGCCCCUGUGGCAGCGAGGGGCACCAGAGGCUGGGUCUAAUUAGUUGAGAAGCAGUGACACCCCCAACCACUCCCCAAACAGGCUGGCUCCCGUCUCCAGGCCCCAAGGAGCCACACCUGGACCAGACCCCAGGAAAGGACCCAUAAGCCAGAGUUUCUCUGGAGCUUAUAGCUAGAAGGGGUUCUGGGUCCUGGAGUGCAGGCCUGUCAACUUUACAGGAGAGCACUAGAUUGCUUUCUGAAGUGGCUGAACCAGGUUAUGCUUCCAUCAGCUGUGUAUGAGCAUCCCCAUCUUCUUGACCACACUUGAAGCCAUCAGUUUCCUUGAAGCAUAUGGGUUGCACACUUCAUUUUGCAUGUAUCAAGUUUAUAUAAUAAAAAAUGUAAGGAAGCCAUGGAAAUAAAAA